rnacentral:sRNA from 1 species
UAUAAGCUAACAGUUCUAAAAUGCGAGGUGAUCGACUUCUACUUAAAAACUUUAGCCAUGCUCUGUUAUGAUCCAAAUUCACACUCAAUUGCACAAUACGUCAAGAUCAACCAAUCACUUUAACAUUCAUUAAGUUCAAGAACAUGAAUCAAGAUAUGCAUCGCUAGUGAACUCAUUUGGCUAAAGACGGGUUAUGAGACAAAGAUGGUCCCUUUAAGAUGGUUCAGACUUUAAUAACAUGGGACUCUCAAUGAAAAAUGACUGAGCUUUAGAAGAAUGCUAAAGGUAAGUGCCAACCUAUGCAUACAAGAAUAGCACCCCAUCUACCCAAUGACAUAAACCGUGAAUAACAAGUAGAUGGUCCUAUCUCUAAACCCAAUGAUGAUCCUAAGUCUACCUUUUUGCACUAAAGGCAUAUUUCAAUUUUUUCUUGGAUCAAAACAUUUCCUUUCAUUUCUUUGGCUCUUCCUCUUAAGGAGAAGUUUUUCUUAAACUCUAUGAGUCUAGUCUAGUGAAUUGAGUUUUUCUUAAACUCUAAUGGCUCUUAUGAUUUUUUUUUUCUUUUCUUUUCUGUUUUUGUUGCCAUUUUUUUUUUUAGAGUAUAUCUUAUCAAUUCUAUGCUUCCCAAACAUUCACUAGACCUCAAUAUGAUUUUUAGCUUCCUUCUCCUAAAGAUUCUAACUCGUUUACUUUCUUUUCUUUUCACAUUCAAUCUCAAUUCCCAAAUAAGUUCCCACCUAGUCCUACCAAGUCCGAAAACGCGGAUUGGAAGUACAUGGGAUACUACUCUUGUCGGCUCAAACCUAACACGUUCUACCAAGCUCAGUCCUGAAAAUAGGCCUCACAUGCUCUCACAAAUAACAUGGCUUGAAAGAAGGGUUGGUUAAGGGUGGGGGAACUACUCCAAUAAUAGAAGCAGCUACUUGGAUUAGCAAGAGUGGUGAAUAAGUGAAAGAAAAUCCAAAUAUA